rnacentral:tRNA from 1 species
GGGUGCGUAGACCAACUGGCAGAGUCGCCUGUUUCAAGAACAGGAUGUUGCGAGUUCAAAUCUCGCCGCGCCCACCA